AGUGAACGCUGGCGGUAGGCCUAACACAUGCAAGUCGAUCGGCAGCACAGUAAGAGCUUGCUCUUACGGGUGGCGAGUGGCGGACGGGUGAGGAAUACAUCGGAAUCUACUUUUUCGUGGGGGAUAACGUAGGGAAACUUACGCUAAUACCGCAUACGACCUACGGGUGAAAGCAGGGGAUCUUCGGACCUUGCGCGAUUGAAUGGGCCGAUGUCGGAUUAGCUAGUUGGCGGGGUAAAGGCCCACCAAGGCGACGAUCCGUAGCUGGUCUGAGAGGAUGAUCAGCCACACUGGAACUGAGACACGGUCCAGACUCCUACGGGAGGCAGCAGUGGGGAAUAUUGGACAAUGGGCGCAAGCCUGAUCCAGCCAUACCGCGUGGGUGAAGAAGGCCUUCGGGUUGUAAAGCCCUUUUGUUGGGAAAGAAAAGCAGCAGGUUAAUACCCCGCUGUUCUGACGGUACCCAAAGAAUAAGCACCGGCUAACUUCGUG
rnacentral:rRNA from 1 species